AUUGAACGCUGGCGGCAGGCUUAACACAUGCAAGUCGAGCGGGCGAGGUUGCUUCGGUAACUGAGCUAGCGGCGGACGGGUGAGUAAUGCUUAGGAAUCUGCCUAUUAGUGGGGGACAACACUCCGAAAGGAAUGCUAAUACCGCAUACGCCCUACGGGGGAAAGCAGGGGAUCUUCGGACCUUGCGCUAAUAGAUGAGCCUAAGUCAGAUUAGCUAGUUGGUGGGGUAAAGGCCUACCAAGGCGACGAUCUGUAGCGGGUCUGAGAGGAUGAUCCGCCACACUGGGACUGAGACACGGCCCAGACUCCUACGGGAGGCAGCAGUGGGGAAUAUUGGACAAUGGGCGCAAGCCUGAUCCAGCCAUGCCGCGUGUGUGAAGAAGGCCUUUUGGUUGUAAAGCACUUUAAGCGAGGAGGAGGCUACCGAGAUUAAUACUCUUGGAUAGUGGACGUUACUCGCAGAAUAAGCACCGGCUAACUCUGUGCCAGCCGCCGCGGUAAUAC
rnacentral:rRNA from 1 species